rnacentral:rRNA from 1 species
AUUGAACGCUGGCGGCAUGCCUUACACAUGCAAGUCGAACGGCAGCACGGGAGCAAUCCUGGUGGCGAGUGGCGAACGGGUGAGUAAUAUAUCGGAACGUGCCCAGUCGUGGGGAUAACGUAGCGAAAGUUACGCUAAUACCGCAUACGAUCUAAGGAUGAAAGCGGGGGAUCGCAAGACCUCGCGCGAUUGGAGCGGCCGAUAUCAGAUUAGGUAGUUGGUGAGGUAAAGGCUCACCAAGCCAACGAUCUGUAGCUGGUCUGAGAGGACGACCAGCCACACUGGAACUGAGACACGGUCCAGACUCCUACGGGAGGCAGCAGUGGGGAAUAUUGGACAAUGGGCGCAAGCCUGAUCCAGCCAUGCCGCGUGUGUGAAGAAGGCCUUCGGGUUGUAAGCGACUUCUAGUCGAGGAGGAGAGUGUGUGUUAUAGUAC